GCCCAGACCACCAGCUAAGGUCCCCAAAUCAUCACUAAGUGAAAAAGGAGGUGGGGUUGCAAAGACAACUAGGAGGUUUGCCUAGAAGCAGCCACCCUUGAAAGAGUGCGUAAUAGCUCACUAGUCAAGCGAUCCUGCGCCGAAAAUGAAAGGGGCUAAGUGAUGUACCGAAGCUGUGGGAUUAGAAAUAAUCGGUAGGGGAGCGUUCCGUAGUAGUGAGAAGCAGUAGCGGCGAGCAGCUGUGGACGAGACGGAAGUGAGAAUGUCGGCUUGAGUAGCGCAAACAUUGGUGAGAAUCCAAUGCCCCGAAACCCUAAGGGUUCCAGAGGCAGGUUCGUCCACUCUGGGUUAGUCGGGACCUAAGGCGAGGUCGAAAGGCGUAGUCGAUGGAGACCGGGUCAACAAUCCCGGACUACAAUAUGGGAGCAAAACUAGGGACGCAUGAAAGAUAGCCACACCCUGAAUGGAUUGGGAAGACCGUUACGACGGUCGAGUGGUAAAGGAAAGUGCCAAGAAAAGCUAGGGUUGUGAUGAACAUAUAGUACCCGUACCCGAAACCGACACAGGUAGGGAGGUUGAGAAUACCAAGGGGCGCGAGAUAACUCUCUCUAAGGAACUCGGCAAAAUGGCCCCGUAACUUAGGAAGAAGGGGUGCCUGCCGAAAGGCAGGUCGCAGUGAAGAGAUCCAGGCGACUGUUUACCAAAAACAUAGGUCUCCGCUAACUCGAAAGAGGACGUAUGGGGGCUGACGCCUGCCCAGUGCCGGAAGGUUAAGGAAGUUGGUCAGUGGAAACAUAAAGCUGACGACCGAAGCCCCGGUGAACGGCGGCCGUAACUAUAACGGUCCUAAGGUAGCGAAAUUCCUUGUCGGGUAAGUUCCGACCCGCACGAAAGGCGUAACGAUCUGGAUGGUGUCUCAGAGAGAGACUCGGCGAAAUAGGAAUGUCUGUGAAGAUACGGACUACCUGCACCUGGACAGAAAGACCCUAUGAAGCUUUACUGUAGCCUGGAAUUGUGUUCGGGCUUGGCUUGCGCAGGAUAGGUGGGAAGCGAAGAACUUCUCCUUGAGGGGGGAAGGGAGCUAACGGUGAGAUACCACUCUGGCGAAGCUAGAAUUCUAACUCAUCACCGUAAGCCGGUGAGAGGAAAGUUUCAGGUGGGCAGUUUGACUGGGGCGGUCGCCUCCUAAAAGGUAACGGAGGCGCGCAAAGGUUCUCUCAGCACGCUUGGAAACCGUGCGACGAGUGUAAAGGCAAAAAGAGAGCUUGACUGCAAGACCAACAAGUCGAGCAGGGACGAAAGUCGGCCUUAGUGAUCCGACGGCGCAGCAUGGAAUGGCCGUCGCUCAACGGAUAAAAGUUACUCUAGGGAUAACAGGCUGAUCUCCCCCAAGAGUCCACAUCGACGGGGAGGUUUGGCACCUCGAUGUCGGCUCAUCGCAACCUGGGGCGGAAGUACGUCCCAAGGGUUGGGCUGUUCGCCCAUUAAAGCGGUACGUGAGCUGGGUUCAGAACGUCGUGAGACAGUUCGGUCCAUAUCCGGUGCAGGCGAAAGAACAUUGAGAGGAGUCCUCCUUAGUACGAGAGGACCGGGAGGAACGAACCGCUGGUGUACCAGUUAUUCCGCCAGGAGUAGACGCUGGGUAGCCAAGUUCGGAGAGGAUAACCGCUGAAAGCAUCUAAGUGGGAAGCCCACCUUAAGAUGAGUGUUCUCACUACGAGAGUAGGUAAGGUCACGGGGAGAAGACCCGUUGAUAGGCUUUAUGUGGAAGUACAGUAAUGUAUGUAGCAGAGGAGUCCUAACAGACCGAGGGCUUGACCUC
rnacentral:ncRNA from 1 species